UAUAGAGGGGGCAAGCGUUGUUCGGAAUUACUGGGCGUAAAGGGCGCGUAGGCGGCCUUCUAAGUCGAACGUGAAAUCCCCGGGCUCAACCCGGGAACUGCGUCCGAUACUGGAAGGCUUGAAUCCGGGAGAGGGAUGCGGAAUUCCAGGUGUAGCGGUGAAAUGCGUAGAUAUCUGGAGGAACACCGGUGGCGAAGGCGGGAUCCUGGGCCAGUACUGACGCUGAGACGCGAAAGCGUGGGGAGCGAACAGG
rnacentral:rRNA from 1 species